rnacentral:rRNA from 1 species
AUAAUGGGUCAGCGACUUAUAUUCUGUAGCAAGGUUAACCGAAUAGGGGAGCCGAAGGGAAACCGAGUCUUAACUGGGCGUUAAGUUGCAGGGUAUAGACCCGAAACCCGGUGAUCUAGCCAUGGGCAGGUUGAAGGUUGGGUAACACUAACUGGAGGACCGAACCGACUAAUGUUGAAAAAUUAGCGGAUGACUUGUGGCUGGGGGUGAAAGGCCAAUCAAACCGGGAGAUAGCUGGUUCUCCCCGAAAGCUAUUUAGGUAGCGCCUCGUGAAUUCAUCUCCGGGGGUAGAGCACUGUUUCGGCAAGGGGGUCAUCCCGACUUACCAACCCGAUGCAAACUGCGAAUACCGGAGAAUGUUAUCACGGGAGACACACGGCGGGUGCUAACGUCCGUCGUGAAGAGGGAAACAACCCAGACCGCCAGCUAAGGUCCCAAAGUCAUGGUUAAGUGGGAAACGAUGUGGGAAGGCCCAGACAGCCAGGAUGUUGGCUUAGAAGCAGCCAUCAUUUAAAGAAAGCGUAAUAGCUCACUGGUCGAGUCGGCCUGCGCGGAAGAUGUAACGGGGCUAAACCAUGCACCGAAGCUGCGGCAGCGACGCUGAUGCGUUGUUGGGUAGGGGAGCGUUCUGUAAGCCUGCGAAGGUGUGCUGUGAGGCAUGC